CGGAGGGAGCUAGCGUUGUUCGGAAUUACUGGGCGUAAAGCGCACGUAGGCGGCUUUGUAAGUUAGAGGUGAAAGCCCGGAGCUCAACUCCGGAACUACCUUUAAGACUGCAUCGCUUGAAUCCAGGAGAGGUGAGUGGAAUUCCGAGUGUAGAGGUGAAAUUCGUAGAUAUUCGGAAGAACACCAGUGGCGAAGGCGGCUCACUGGACUGGUAUUGACGCUGAGGUGCGAAAGCGUGGGGGGCAAACAGGAUUAGAUACCCUGGUAGUCCACGCCGUAAACGAUGAUAACUAGCUGUCAGGGGCCUUAGGCUUUUGGUGGCGCAGCUAACGCAUUAAGUUAUCCGCCUGGGGAGUACGGCCGCAAGGUUA
rnacentral:rRNA from 1 species